CAAUAUCAAUUAUCUAUCAGAAUAUUGGAUUCUGAUGGUUCAACUCACUGUAGAGAUUUGGAUUUAGGUUAGAACAAAUAUAAGGCCUGCAUGCAGCAGCAUCAAUCUGGACAGCGUAAAUGAAUGAAGUUACUCAGCCAGCUUCAUGAGAAAACAAUCAACCUAUUCUGUUCCUAAACCAAGCAAUUAGAGAUAUAGAUGGCUAAUGCAAUUCUGUGUGUCAAAAAAAGGAACACAACUUUCCAGUUUCUAAGGUAGAUAAAGUUAUUCUCUACUCUUCUUCACUGCCCAAGUAGUGGCAGAAAUGGAAUGCCAGAUAGCUUAAGCAAAAAGGGAAAUUGAUUCACAUAAAUAGUAAAACCUAGAACUUUAGAGGAUAAUCUCUGGAUGAAUCUAGGACCUCAAAUAAUAUUCUCAAGGAGGGCUUGGUCUCUUUCUAGCCAUACUUGUUCUCAGUCUCUGCGGGGUUCCAUUUUUUCCUGCUUUAUCCACACUUUUUCCUGUGGUGAAGAAGAUGGUGGCAAAAAAAAAUCAGGCUAUUUCUAGCCAAAUUAAUUUUAUUCAACAUAGUAUAAAGUUUAUGAAUCUCAACUAACAAAGAGAUCUUUAACUUUUACUUCCCUGUAGAAAUAUAAUUUUUUAUAAAUCCUAAGUGUUUUACUGCAUAAAUACUGGUACUUCUAUCAAAUUAUUGAUAUCAUUUUAAAUAUCCUCUGUGAGGCUCACUGACUUAUGACAAGUAUGAUUCCCUUGCCCCUGAUGACAGUGGAAAUGCCUCUUUCUUAGCUGAGUGUUAGGAAGGCCUUCCUACCCUGCUGACCACAAAGCAAACUUUGGAAGCAUCUUGGAUUUUACUCAGUUGUAAAAAUGCCUCUAAGUGUAACAUGUUGAGAAACCUGGAUGUGGUGGUCCCCACAUCUAGAUGUCAAAUUCUCAUUUUCUUUCUUCCUGUCAUGCAAUUCCUAUGAAUGCCUAUGUCUUUCUUGUCUUUAAAUUCUGAGUCUGUAAACUUGUUUCCAUGGCAAUGAACACAGGAAGCCCUAAAUUUACAUUUUUUCCAGGUUGGCAACCCCAAAAGAAGGUGAUCUCUCCUAACUUCCCUAUAGCAAUCCCCCAAAAUAAUCUAAUUUUCCAGAAUCACCCCUGGACCAAUCGCUGGCUAAAGGAUGGCAGUAGUCUGGAUUAUGUCCCCAACACUACAUGGAAUUAGGACUCUAUAAUUGACAGCCCUUCAACAACCACGGGAGUGAUACUGAGCAGACAAAAUCAAGAUAUGUGCACUAUAAUCUUCAAAUUAUUCAUUGAUUGAAGUAAAACUAGACAGUAUGCCUUUCUUAUUGACAAAAAGAAUAUUUUGAUUUCCAUUACUUCCCACUAUGGGAAAAAUUAAAUACUAAGGUAAGAACCCCCCCCCUGUUUUUUUUUUUUUUUUAGUAUUUUACAACUAAAAGGGAUCUUACAAAAUCUAGUCCAACCCCUCACAUUACACUUGAGGAAACAGUGAACCAGAGAAUUGAAUUGGCAUGAUUUAGGGUGAAGCUAAAACCAUGCUAACAUCCCUGGAUCCCUAAACCAUUGGGCUUUACUCUAUACAAGCCUGUUACUCAAAUGAAGAUAACAACUAAGAGAUCAUUUCCAUCAUGACAGGGCCUAUAAAAUGUGUAUAAUGUUAAAUGAUUUAAUAAUUCUUUACCAUACAUUUUAAUACUAAAUAUCAAUUGCUUGGCAACUUCAAGGUGCUGAACACCAUGGUCAUAAACAAUUAACACAAUAUCAGAGGAAAUCAUACUGAAUUUUUUUAACUCAUAAAAUGUUAAUAUGGGACUACAUCUUAACUUCUAAAUGCAAAUCAAAUGCAACACUAUCUGUAUGCAAUUUCUUUUGUUUGUUUUUUGUUUUUUGUUUUUAUUGCAGACUGUGGUUCUGUACUGCUCCAGGAAGCAUUUUUCACACUGGGAUGGAAUUAUGGAACCUAUGCCCCUGCUGGAUUUCCAAAUACACAAAGAAAGGGGAAACAACAGAAGCCCAUCUUAAAGGAAAAGUGCUUAAUGGAUGCCAGAAGAAAAUAACAUAAUGGUCAAUGUCUGAGUAAUAUUCAAUAGCCUUCCAUCAUGCAGCAGGUCUGUGAAAUAGUCAGACAACUUGAGAAUUGAAGGCCAGAAUUCACUGCUUGACAGACUAACACCCAUCAAUUUGAAAAGCUCUGAAAUCCUUCUUGAUUUUACGGAAUAAAAUUGGUUAUGGUUAAAGUGACAGUGAUCUCUUUUUCUACUGCAUUUUACAUAUAAAGACAUUAGUUUUUAGUUCUGAAUUUGACUGGAAAUUGAUAAGUGAACAGGCAAAAUUAAGACAUAAUCAUUCUGAAUGGUUUUAUAAGAGGAAAGAUAGAAGAAUGAAAAUGACACACACACACA
rnacentral:lncRNA from 10 species